AUGAAUGGCCUCUGUGCCUUCAACCUUACAAACCUGUGGAAGCUAUAUGUGCUUCGGCGCUCAGGCGUCGUUUUUAUGCUACAAGUCAGUCUUUGUGUCUGAAUCAAACAAAAGAAAUA
rnacentral:misc_RNA from 1 species